AUGAGUCUGCAUAUAAUAAAUUUAAUUAAUACUUGUAAUCAUAUCGAACUAUCUAUCAUUUUUUAUUGUUAUUCUAUUUAUCAAAUUUAUGAUAUAUAUUUAUAUAAUGAUAUAAAAUUAAGAAGUUUAAAAAUAUUCUCUACUUUUGAUGAAAAAUCUUUUUCUUACCUUUUUAAAGGUUUUAAAAAUAUGGACAUAAAUGAUUAUAUUUUUGAAAAUUCUUGUUUAAAUAAAAUUAAGCAAAUAAAUAAUUAUAAUUUUUUAUCUUAUUUAUGUAUGACCAUGUCAGCUUAUUCUAUGGUAAAUAAUAACAAACACAAACCAGAAAUUGUUAAUAUUUUUUUUAAAAAUUUUGAGCGAAUUAUGUCCGAUUUGUGUAGUUAUACGGAUGGAGUUAAUAGUGCAGUUAUGGAUCAUACAAAACAGACACGUAUUGAUGAAACUAAUCACAAUUUUAUAACUUCCAUUAUUUUUUAUUUUACCAAAAUAAAAUAUAUACAAACAGUGGAGUUAAUAAAAAUGACAAUGAAUUAUUUAGACCAUUAUAAAAAUGAAUUGUUGAUAGAACAUUGUGUAAGUUUACUAAGUUCACUAGCUAUUUUUACAGCUAGCUUAAAAACUGAACAAAAUAACAUAUAUUGGAACAAUUAUUAUGACCUAGUCAUAUUUUUUGUAAAUAAAAUUCUAUUAAAUAAAGAAUUGUAUAAAAAAAAAUAUUUAGUUAUGAAUUUAUUAAGUACUAGUGGUAAAAUAUUUUACUCUUCUAUAAAUACUAAUAAGGUUUUAAAAAAAAAUAAUAAAAUUUUGUUUUUUUUUAAAAAUGUAUUAAAUAGUUUAUUACCAUAUGUAUAUGAACACAUGAAUGAAAUGUCUAGUAGUGAUUUAGUUAUAUUAUCUUUGGGUUUAAAAAAAGAAAAUUAUUCAAAAGAAGUAAUGAAUUUAAUUUUAAUUGAUUCGUAUGACAAUUUUGUGGAGAUGCUUAUUAAACGAUGUCGGUUUGUUUGGGAUAGGAGUAGUGGUAGUGGUAGUGGUAGUAGUAGUAGUGGUGGUAGUGGUAGUGGUGGUGGUAGUGGUAGUAGUGGUGAUAGUGGUGUUGGUGGUGGUAGUGGUAGUGGUAGUAGUGGUGAUAGUGGUGUUGGUACCUUUUUUGAUCAUAGUGAUUAUAUUAAGGGUAUAUUAAUUAUGAACAAUCUGACCGAGUUAGAUAUUUAUGACAAUAUUUUACACAAAAUAAUAAUUAAUAAUUGUGUUUUUCACAAUGCAUGUUUUUCGUCUAUUCCUAUAUUGUGUCAAGCAAUAUUUUACAUAUGUAGGUAUAUAUUUUUAAAGGAACCUAUCGUUACAAAUAAGAAUAUAAUUUUAUUACAUACUUUAUAUGAACAGUUGUUUGUUUUAUUUAUUAACAACAAUAUUAUUAGUUUUAAUAAAUUUGAUAAUAAUCUGGUUUUAUCACAUAAACACAUUAACAAGUUAAUAAAUUAUGAUAUUUUAUUUGAUAAAUAUAUUAAAUAUAUAUGUGAAGCUACAUUAAUAGUUUUAUUACAUGUAUGUAACCUAGGCUAUAACAAUAAUUAUAAUUGUAUAAAUAAAUUAAACAAAAAAAGAAGCUUUAACAAAAAUAAAAAUACUAUUCAUUUGUUGAAUAACAUUAAAUUGUUACGUUUGUAUUUAUGCAUUUUUCAAAUAACAAAUUAUAUUGAAUAUAGUAAGUAUAGCAGUAAGAUAAAUGAUAAGGUUGAAGAGAACGAUGUUGUUGUGGAAAUUCAGCAGCAUAUACGUAAACAUAAAUGUGCGUACGGAAUAAACAUACAAAAUAAAUAUACAUUUGUUACUUCUCUUUUUGAUAUUUUAGUGUUACUUUCUUAA
ensembl:lncRNA